GACGAACGCUGGCGGCGUGCUUAACACAUGCAAGUCGAACGGACAGGCGCUGCUUUUGUGUGGUGCUCGAGUGGCGCACGGGUGAGUAACACGUGUGUAACCUGCCCUUGACUUUCGGAUAACUUCUGGAAAAUGGGGCUAAUAUCGGAUAGGAGCUUCUGAUGCAUGGUGGUGGUUGGAAAGUUUCGGCGGUUGGGGAUGGACUCGAGGCUUAUCAGCUUGUUGGUGGGGUAGUGGCUUACCACGGCUUCGACGGGUAGCCGGCAUGAGAGGGUGACCGGCCACAUUGGGACUGAGAUACGGCCCAGACGGCUACGGGAGGCAGCAGUGGGGAAUAUUGCACAGUGGGCGGGAGCCAGAUGCAGCAACGCCGCGUGCGGGAUGACGGCCUUCGGGUUGUAAACCGCUUUCGCCUGUGACGAAGCGUGAGUGACGGUAAUGGGUAAAAAAGCAACGGCUAACUACGUG
rnacentral:rRNA from 1 species